rnacentral:rRNA from 1 species
CCUAACACAUGCAAGUCGAACGGUAACAGGAAGCAGCUUGCUGCUUCGCUGACGAGUGGCGGACGGGUGAGUAAUGUCUGGGAAGCUGCCUGAUGGAGGGGGAUAACUACUGGAAACGGUAGCUAAUACCGCAUAAUGUCGCAAGACCAAAGAGGGGGACCUUCGGGCCUCUUGCCAUCGGAUGUGCCCAGAUGGGAUUAGCUAGUAGGUGGGGUAACGGCUCACCUAGGCGACGAUCCCUAGCUGGUCUGAGAGGAUGACCAGCCACACUGGAACUGAGACACGGUCCAGACUCCUACGGGAGGCAGCAGUGGGGAAUAUUGCACAAUGGGCGCAAGCCUGAUGCAGCCAUGCCGCGUGUAUGAAGAAGGCCUUCGGGUUGU